rnacentral:rRNA from 1 species
ACUCAAAGGAAUAGACGGGGGCCCGCACAAGCGGCGGAGCAUGUGGAUUAAUUCGAUGCAACGCGAAGAACCUUACCUGGGCUUGACAUGCACCGGAAACCUGCAGAGAUGUAGGCCUCUUCGGACUGGUGUACAGGUGGUGCAUGGCUGUCGUCAGCUCGUGUCGUGAGAUGUUGGGUUAAGUCCCGCAACGAGCGCAACCCUCGUUCCAUGUUGCCAGCGCGUUAUGGCGGGGACUCAUGGGAGACUGCCGGGGUCAACUCGGAGGAAGGUGGGGAUGACGUCAAGUCAUCAUGCCCCUUAUGUCCAGGGCUUCACACAUGCUACAAUGGCCGGUACAGAGGGCUGCUAAGCCGUGAGGUGGAGCGAAUCCCACAAAGCCGGUCUCAGUUCGGAUCGGGGUCUGCAACUCGACCCCGUGAAGUCGGAGUCGCUAGUAAUCGCAGAUCAGCAACGCUGCGGUGAAUACGUUCCCGGGCCUUGCACACACCGCCCGU